CCUACGGGAGGCAGCAGUGAGGAAUAUUGGUCAAUGGGCGCGAGCCUGAACCAGCCAAGUCGCGUGAGGGAAGACGGUCCUAUGGAUUGUAAACCUCUUUUGUCGGGGAGCAAAAGACGCCACGCGUGGCGUUCCGAGAGUACCCGAAGAAAAAGCAUCGGCUAACUCCGUUCCAGCAGCCGCGGUAAUACGGAGGAUGCGAGCGUUAUCCGGAUGUGUUGGGUUGAAAGGGGGCGCAGGCGGAAGAUCAAGUCAGCGGGAAAAUUGAGAGGCUCAACCUCUUCGAGCCGUUGAAACUGGUUUUCUUGAGUGAGCGAGAAGUAUGCGGAAUGCGUGGUGUAGCGGUGAAAUGCAUAGAUAGCACGCAGAACUCCGAUUGCGAAGGCAGCAUACCGGCGCUCAACUGACGCUCAUGCACGAAAGUGUGGGUAUCGAACAGGAUUAGAUACCCCUGUAGUC
rnacentral:rRNA from 1 species